rnacentral:rRNA from 1 species
UACGUAGGCAGCAAGCGUUGUUCGGAGUUACUGGGCGUAAAGAGUAUGUAGGCGGUUGGGUAAGUUUGGUGUGAAAUCUCCCGGCUUAACUGGGAGGGUGCGCUAAAGACUGCCUGGCUCGAGUGUGGGAGAGGAAAGCGGAAUUCUUGGUGUAGCGGUGAAAUGCGUAGAUAUCAAGAGGAACACCUGAGGUGAAGACGGGUUGCUGGGCUGACACUGACGCUGAGGCGCGAAAGCCAGGGGAGCAAACGGG